rnacentral:rRNA from 1 species
AUACGGAGGGUGCAAGCGUUACUCGGAAUCACUGGGCGUAAAGCGCGCGCAGGCGGGCUGAUAAGUUGGAUGUGAAAGCCUACGGCUCAACCGUAGAACUGCAUCCAAAACUGUCAGUCUAGAGUGUGGGAGAUGAAGAUGGAAUUAGUUGUGUAGGGGUAAAAUCCGUAGAGAUAACUAGGAAUACCAAAAGCGAAGGCAAUCUUCUGGAACACUACUGACGCUGAGGCGCGAAGGCGUGGGGAGCAAACAGGAUUAGAAACCCGAGUAGUCC